rnacentral:lncRNA from 9 species
GGCUCAUGUGAUGGGGAGGUUGGGGUCUGGUGCUCACUGGGCAGGGAGAGCAGAGAGGAGCCAUAAGCAAAUGGAAGAGUGCAUAGGCCCAGGGCUCUGGGGACAGAGCAUCUGCAAUUUGGCAAGCCAACCAGAAAAUUACAAAGAUGGUUCAAUAUGCAGGCAGGGGCUCUGGGUGGGAGAAGGAUGGGCAAGAGUCACAGAAGUGAGGGGACACUGGGCUACCGAGAGGGGAUCUGUGACAGCCUCUGACUGGGCCAGGGCCUCUUCCCAUCAGCCUCACCCGGACAUGCAUUCCAAGGCCCCCCACGGAGCUACAGGCUGUGCCGGAGCUAGGCACUGGUGCACAUCCCGCAGCUUGUGGGGUCUCCGUGGCCUCUGGGGGAGACUUCCCCACCCUGGCUUUCCUUCUGUCCUUCUCAAGCUCUACUCAAGAUGCCCCGUCCUCAGCCUACCUGCCCGGACAGGAGGAGGUAACAGCAGCAGAGAUUCAAGGCAGAACUUGGGGAGACGCCCAUCAAAGCAGGUGAGGAUGGGGAAAAAGGACCGAGGGUGGGCCCAUCGGUCCGUUCCAGAACUCCCACUGGACUGUCAAACGGGGUUGAGCGGACAGCUGAGCCCUGGAGCCUGGGGACGAGAUGUUCCAUCCUCUGAGCAGACUGAGGCCGGAUGUCGGCUUGGAGCCGACGCCGCACCAGCUCCAGCUCCCUUCCUUGGCUGCAGGGUCUUCUUUGGAGUGAGGGUCGGCCCUCUCGGCGCCUCAGGGAGCGCAGGGCCCUUCGGAGGCAAGUGGUGUGGGGGCCUCUCCCAUGUGGGGGGCUCUGUUAGACCUCCUUCCUUCCUCUUCUCGUUGGCGGCGAGGCUGGAGGGUGUGCUUUUUCCAGACCCUUCUCUCUCACGAGUCUGAACAGUCAGAGGAAGCGGC